GCGACCCCAGGAUGGGCGAGGCCACCCGCCGAGUUUAAGCA
rnacentral:rRNA from 1 species